rnacentral:rRNA from 1 species
UACGUAGGGGGCAAGCGUUGUCCGGAAUCAUUGGGCGUAAAGAGCGUGUAGGCGGCCCGGUAAGUCCGCUGUGAAAGUCCAGGGCUCAACCCUGGAAUGCCGGUGGAAACUGUCGGGCUAGAGUCCGGAAGAGGCGAGUGGAAUUCCUGGUGUAGCGGUGAAAUGCGCAGAUAUCAGGAGGAACACCAAUUGCGAAGGCAGCUCGCUGGGACUUUACUGACGCUGAGACGCGAAAGCGUGGGGAGCAAACAGG